rnacentral:rRNA from 1 species
AUUGAACGCUGGCGGCAUGCCUUACACAUGCAAGUCGAACGGUAACAGGUCUUCGGAUGCUGACGAGUGGCGAACGGGUGAGUAAUACAUCGGAACGUGCCUAGUAGUGGGGGAUAACUACUCGAAAGAGUGGCUAAUACCGCAUGAGAUCUACGGAUGAAAGCAGGGGAUCGCAAGACCUUGUGCUACUAGAGCGGCCGAUGGCAGAUUAGGUAGUUGGUGGGAUAAAAGCUUACCAAGCCGACGAUCUGUAGCUGGGCUGAGAGGACGAUCAGCCCAAAUGGGACUGAUACACGGCCCAGACUCCUGCGGGAGGCAGCAGUGGGGAAUUUUGGACAAUGGGCGCAAGCCUGAUUCAGCAAUGCCGCGUGCAGGAUGAAGGCCUUCGGGUUGUAAACUGCUUUUGUACGGAACGAAAAGCCCUGGGUUAAUACCCUGGGGUCAUGACGGUACCGUAAGAAUAAGCACCGGCUAACUACGUGCCAGCCGCCGCCGUAACAC